rnacentral:sRNA from 1 species
AUAUUUGUAACUGUUGAACUCUAUAUAUUCGUCCUUCUUCUUAGGUAAUUAUA